rnacentral:rRNA from 1 species
CGUGUAGGCGGAUGGGAACGUCGGAACCUGAAAGCCCCCGGCUCAACCGGGGAAGCGGGGCCGAAACGACCCGUCUGGAGGGACGUAGGGGGAUCUGGAACUUCCGGUGGAGCGGUGAAAUGCGUUGAGAUCGGAAGGAACGCCCGUGGCGAAAGCGAGAUCCUGGACGUUUACUGACGCUGAGACGCGAAAGCUAGGGGAGCGAACG